AGGGAAGCCACAAGGCUCCAGAGCUGUUCCAGAACAGCCGACUCCAUAUACCCAGGAGGAAAAGAUAAAGACUUCCUAUCAACUGAGGUCCAAAAUCAGUGUCAAGGUGGCCAGGGCAACUGUGAGGGUGAAUAAGCACAUUCAACCAAAGCUGACCAAGGAACCUUAUCAAAAAACUCCCAUCUCAAAGAAACUGAAGAAAAUCAGAGGAUCAGAUCUCUGUAGCUACUGUUCCAAGGUGAAUGAAGAGCUGGAUCAGAAUGAACCAGAGGAGGUCCCAGGGAUCAUGGAGACUCCUGCUGUUCCAGCGAGACCAGUGGGCAGCCAGGAACUUCAGAGCACAGCUAGAGACCUCAGAAAUCUACAGAGGUCUCACCUCUGAGAAAUGGCCAACAGUAUAGUUGUUGAAUCUUAUACCAACAUCAUACAUUAAUAAUGAACUUUAAAU
ensembl:lncRNA